UCCGGAUAGCCGUAAGGGUGUAACUUUACAUCUGGUUGCAGUACGGAACUGUUUUUCACAAGUUCAUUGCGUGACCUGCCAAAAGUUGACCAAAAAGAUCAUCGAUAUUGCUGAGCUCCACAACUAAGAAGUCAAAGCUUGACAAAAGCUACAAGUCCUUUCACGAGAACUACCUUUUCAAUUACGAAGAUUACUCUGCAAACCGAUGUGGAGCCUGCUGUCGUGCUGGGUUUAUUCUGUUCCUGUGCUGCAGGAAGAGCAAUGUCCAACCAUGUGGUUGCCUUGCUUUUCCAAACAGCACAUUUCAGCAUGAUGAACAUGAAGACAGUCCCACCACCUGUACCAUGCACAAGCUCACUACAAACAUGGCACAGGCCAAGGACUCAGUUUUUGUCAGGGGAUUCGACCAGAACCAAAACAUCACCUUGUUGUUAAAAAGCUGAAGAUUUUGAAG